GCAAACUUGGUCAUUUAGAGGAAGUAAAAGUCGUAACAAGGUUUCCGUAGGUGAACCUGCGGAAGGAUCAUCAUUGAAUUUAUACUUAUACACCCUUGUGAACAUUGGCUGCCUAGGGCAGAAGCCCCCUUACUCGGGGCGCCCCGGGAAUGCCGCAUGUACAACUAUGUUUUGACUUUGGCGGGCCAAGCGUAUGUAUCCGGUAAGGCGAGAGCCUCCUCGGAUGCUGCUUCCCGCCAACGUCAAACGUUAGGAAAAACCUUUGGAAAAACUGAAAGCUAAUAAUUCUUGUAUGAAAUAUGAACAACUUUCAACAAUGGAUCUCUUGGCUCUCGCAUCGAUGAAGAACGCAGC
rnacentral:misc_RNA from 1 species